rnacentral:snRNA from 1 species
GUGUUACUCCGGUAGCACAUAUACUAAAAUUGGAACGAUACAGAGAAGAUUAGCAUGGCCCCUGCACAAGGAUGACAUGCAAAUUCGUGAAGUGUUCAUUUUUAUG